UCUCCGACCACUGACCAAACUCCAAAUGAAACAACAGCCUAUUUAUACUUUCUCAGACUCACUGUUGUGCUUAUUCUCACUCUGUACCAUUGGUGUGACCUAUUGAGGAGCAGAGAAACAUACUGCCUGGUAAUCUGCCUCUUGGAAGCUGGGAUCUGGCACGUUUCAUCGAAAGUAUUGCAGGGAAAAAAUAUAUAGAACUGAGAAACUGUGCAUGGCAAGGCUCAUCACUCUAAAGAUACUAAUGGUGAAAUAGCUCGAUUGGGAAAUCCACGUGAGGGUUCAAGGCCCAAGUAAUAGAACAUCUAUGAGCUGGCUGAGAAUAAGAAAACAAGAGAAUGACAUGUCAAAAAUUUCAGGUCACCAUCAGUCUUGAAGUUGGGACUCCCAUUUAUGGGACUCUAAGAGACGACUUUCUAAGUGGUGCGUCUAAUCUCUGUCUGUGGGUUGCCAAUUGUGACAAUUGCUCAAAAUUUUGUGAAGUGAUACUUUCAACUGGGAAAUGUAAUUGAAAGUCAAAAAAGUUUUAGACAUGACACUUUAACUGUUUCUCUUUCCACAGAUGCUGCUUGACCUAUUGAACAUUUCCAUCACCUCCUGUUUUUGUUUGUGGAAACUUAACUGUUGGAGAUAUCCAAUGAGAAUUUAAGCGUAUGAUGUCUAAGAAUUCCUGUGCAUAGAAAGAUUGUCAUUGUUACUUUUACAGGACUAACCCCAUUCACAUUAUGAAGAAGGGUCUGAAGAAGGGUCCCAAUCAAAAUGUCACCUAUCCAUUUUCUCCAGAGAUGCUGCCUGACGUGCUGAGUUACUCCAACUCUUUUCUUUUUUGUUAAACCAGCAUUUGCAGUUCCUUGAUUCUACCAGUCACAUUAUUGUCUGCCUCAGCACUACAGCUAUUGGCUAUGUUUCCAAAAAGCAAAAUACUUUCAGAUUUUACAAGUACUUUGACAGCUGAGAAUUUGUUAGAUGAAGAUAAAAGUAAUCGCAAAUGAAAUUUGACUUUGGAAUACCAAUAAAUACAAAAAAUAAAUACCAAAAAAACUAGUGUACGGGUGAUCGCUGGUCGGCACGGACUCGGUGGGCUAAAGGGCCAGUUUCCACGGCUGUACCAUGGAAACAGUACAGAUAAAUUCUUAGUUGCUGCAGCAUUAGAGGCCAAUGUAUUAUGUAAAAGGAUAUGUGUGUUAUGAUUGUGUUUAUAAUUUGUUUGGUUGUUUUGUUGUUUGUCUUUUGCACAAAAGUCCGCGAGCAUUGCCACUUUCAUUUCACUGCACAUCUCAUAUGUGUAUGUGACAAAUAAACUUGACAUGACUUGACUUGACUUGACAAUUAUCGUAGUAACAUAACAAAUUAAUAUACAAUAAUCAAGUCGGAAGACAUCUCACUCUGAAGAAGGGCCUCGACCCGAAACAUCACCUAUUCUUUUUCUCCAGAGAUGUUGCCUGACCCACUGAGUUAAUCUAGCAUUUUGUGUCUCUUCCAUAUACAAUAAUCAAUGAUAUAAUAUAUCAAUGAUCAGCAAUACUAGAUAAUCAGACCGUAAUAGUGCAAAACUAAAAUACGUAGUGCAACCAAAAAGUCAAUAGUAGAUCGUUGUUGAAGUAGGGUUGUGGUUAGGAGUGUGCAGGUUGGACGUUGAGAAGAAGAUACUUUGGAACAUGGAGGUCAGAAUUUGUAGCCUCCUAUACCGUCUUUUGGAUGGUAGCAGCGAGAUGAGAGCGUGGCCUGGAUGGUGUGAGAUGAUAUUAGGCUGAUCUUAUACGGUGGAGUUUGUAUUUAAAGGGAUGGAUCAAUUUUGAUGGUUUUAGAAUAGAGCACCUUUAUUGGUUAAUCUUUAAACGAAAGAUAACACGUACUUCUUUGUUUUUCAUUAUAGUUUAGUUUAGGUUAGAGAAACAGCGUGGAAACAGGCCAUUCGGCCCACCAAGUCUGCACAGACCAGCAAUCCCCCCACAUUAACAAGGGACAAUUUACACACUUAAAUCAAGAUUGAAGAUUCAAGUGAGUUUAUUGUCAUGCGUCACAGAUAGGACAAUGAAAUGCUUGCUUUGCUUCAGCACAACAGAAUACAGUAGACAUAAAUAAAUCAGCCAAUUAACCUACAAACAAUCUGGUAUUUAAAUAUUUUUAAAUGAAGAUUUAAAUAAUAAUGGGAUGAUUAGGCUAAUUUUACUUAUUUUAGCUCUUCGUCUGAUUAGAAUUAGAUGCGAAUGUGGGAAUGUCAGUUAUUGGAUAUUUACUUUCUGGGAGACUAGGAAUAGGAAUAUGUAUACUUUAUUGUCACAUGUGACUAGGCGCCGUGAAAUUCUAUGCCUGCAUACACAAUUAUUCAACUGGUUUGUCACAGGUGAUUCAAAUAGAACACAACUGUAAAUGCUAUAUCCAAAUUGGCCAAGAUGAUGCAGCAACACAUAUUUGUACUUAUGAGUCAUUGUUCCACAGUGUAUUACGUAUUUGGCCGCGUACUACGUUAAAGAAUAAUCUUUUCACAAUUCAUAUUGAAUUCAUUAUAAUUCUUGAAAUAAAUGUAUUAUCCAUUUUGACUGCGGAACACUCAUUAGAGUCAUAGAGUGAUACAGCGUGGAAACUGGUACUUAAGCCCAACUUGCCCACACCGGCCAACUUUUCCCAGCUACUCUAGUCCCAUCUGCCCACGUUUGGUCCAUAUCCCUUCAAACCUGUCCUAUCUAACCUGUCUAACUGUUGCUUAAAUGUUGGGAUAGUCCCUGUCUCAACUACCUCCUCUGGCAGCUUGUUCCAUACACCCACCACCUUCUGAGAAAGUAACUUCUAAUAGAAAGUAGACACAAAAUGCUGGAGUAACUCAGCUGGACAGACAGCAUCUCUGGAGAGAAGGAAUGGGUGACGUUUCGGUUCGAGACCCUUCUUCAGACUCUACUAGAAAGUUAUUCCUAUUUCUAAUAGAAAGUUAUUCUCAUUAUUUUUUUCCCCUUCACUUUAAACCUAUGUCCUCUGGUCCUCAAUUAAUCCACCCUGGGCAAGAGACUCUGUGCAUUUACCCGAUCUAUUCCUCUCAUGCAAUCUAAAUGCAAUAGGAUGUCUUAAUCUGGUAAAAUGAUUAUUCUUUAACACAGUAAACUGUCAAAUUAAGAAUUAAAAAAAUAAAAUAAUUUAAAUUAAAAAUUAAAUUAUGAACAACUAAUUAAUGGGAUGUCAGUUUAAGACUGCCUAUUGCAUUUAAUGCAAGUGUUCGGCAGUCAAAAUGGAUAUAACAUUUAUUUCAAGAAAUAUAUUGAUUUCAAGAUUAAAGUAGCAGAAAUGCACUGAGAAUCUUCUUCUCGUGGAUCUGUUCUCUCCAGUCCAAUCCAGUUGUGUUGGCAAUGUCGUGAUUUUCAUGUGGAACUUUUGCUAAUUAUAAACUAGUGGACGUGGUUCAACUAUUUCACAACAUAUUGCCAAAAUAAGAUGAUCGGUCAUUGCUUAAUACAUGUUUUCCUAAUCAAAGCCAUGCAAUGGUCUUUCUUUUGCACAAUUUACUCAGCUACUGCAAACGUCUGAAGGCCCUGUUUCCGUGCUGUAUGACUCUAUGAUGACAGGCUUAAAGCCUUUGAGGUCAUUCUGAAAACAUUAUUCACAGUAUAGAGUUCAAAAAAUUGCAAUUGCAUUCUUAGAGUAUAGCAAAGGUCUGCACAAACCCAAGAUACUAAAUUAAGGAGGCAUGCUGAAAUGUAAAUAAACUUGAAUUUAUAACAAUACAAAUUUAUAAAAUGCAAAUUUGAAGUUUGCACAAACUGAUUUACCAUCAACUAACUGCACUUUGUAUUGUGUAAACUCGAGGGAAGUGAGUAUUUUUGACGGUAAAAAUUUGGAUUAAAAUUUCUGCUGACUUGUGAAUUAUUUUUACUUCCACAAAAUGACGAUUUUGAUGAGGCUUUGCCAAACCUUUGCAGAGUGGAAAUGUCCAACACUAGAGGGCAUAGCUAUAAGGCGAGAGGAGAAAUGUUUAGUGGAGAUAUGCUGGGCAAGUUUUUUUACACAGAGUGGUGGGGGCAUGGAACACAUUGCCAGGAGUGGUGGUGGAGGCAAAUGCAAUGUUGCCAUUUGAAAGGCUUUUACAUAGGCAUGUGGAAGUGCAGGGAAUAAAGGGAUAUGGAUCUUGUACAGGCAGAUGAGAGCAGUUUAACUUGGCAUCAUGUUUGGCACAGGCCUUGUGGUGUACUGUUCUUUGAGUUUGAGUUUAGUUGAUUCUCACGUGUACCGAGGUACAGUGAAAAGCUUUUGUUGCGUGCUAACUAGUCAGCGGAAAGACAAUACAUGAUUACAAUCGAACCAUCUACAGGGUACAGAUACAUGAUAAAGGAAAUAAGGUGAAUAGCGUUUAAUGCAAGAUAAAGUCCAGUGAAAGUCCAAUCAAGAUAGUCCGAGGGUCUCCGAUGAGAUAGAUAGUAGCUCAGAUCACUCUCUAGUUGUUGGUAGGAUGGUUCAGUUUCUUGAGAACAGCUGGGCCGAAACUAUCCCUGAAUCUGGAGGUGUGCGUUUUCACACUUCUUUUCCUUUUGCCCCAAGGGAGAGGGGGAGAAAAGGGAGUGGCCGGGGUACAACUUGCCCUUGAUUAUGCUGCUGGCCUUACCGAGGCAGUAAAUUGAGUCAAUAAAAGGGAGGUUGCAUUGUGUGAUGGUCUGGGCUGCAUCAACAAUUCUCUGCAAUUUCCUGCAGCCAUGGAUGAAGCUGUUCCCAAACCAAGCCGUGAUACAUUUACAGUGCCCUCCACAAUGUUUGGGACAAAGACCCAUCAUUUAUUUAUUUGCCUCUGCACUCCACAAUUUAAGAUUUGUAAUAGAAAAAAUUACAUGUGGUUAAAGUGCACAUUGUCAGAUUUUAUUAAAGGCCAUUUUCACACAGUUUGGUUUCACCAUGUAGAAAUUACAGCUGUGUUUAUACAUAGCCCUCCCAUUUCAGGGCAUCAUAAUGUUUGGGACACUUGGCUUCACAGGCGUUUGUAAUUGCUCAAGUGUGUAUAAAUGCCUCCUUAAUGCAGGUAAAAGAAAUCUCUCGUCACCUAGUCUUUCCUUCACUCUUUCCAUCACCUUUUAUUGUUGUUUAUCAACAUGAGGACCAAAAUUGUGCCAAUGAAAGUCAAAGAAGCCAUUAUGAGACUGGGAA